rnacentral:rRNA from 1 species
UGGGGAAUAUUGCGCAAUGGGGGGAACCCUGACGCAGCCAUGCCGCGUGAAUGAAGAAGGCCUUCGGGUUGUAAAGUUCUUUCGGUAUUGAGGAAGGUUGAUGUGUUAAUAGCACAUCAAAUUGACGUUAAAUACAGAAGAAGCACCGACUAACUCCGUGCCAGCAGCCGCGGUAAUACGGAGGGUGCGAGCGUUAAUCGGAAUAACUGGGCGUAAAGGGCACGCAGGCGGUUAUUUAAGUGAGGUGUGAAAGCCCUGGGCUUAACCUAGGAAUUGCAUUUCAGACUGGGUAACUAGAGUACUUUAGGGAGGGGUAGAAUUCCACGUGUAGCGGUGAAAUGCGUAGAGAUGUGGAGGAAUACCGAAGGCGAAGGCAGCCCCUUGGGAAUGUACUGACGCUCAUGUGCGAAAGCGUGGGGAGCAAACAGGAUUAGAUACCCUGGUAGUCCACGCUGUAAACGCUGUCGAUUUGGGGGUUGGGGUUUAACUCUGGCGCCCGUAGCUAACGUGAUAAAUCGACCGCCUGGGGAGUACGGCCGCAAGGUUA